UAAUACGGAGGGUGCGAGCGUUGUUCGGAAUCACUGGGCGUAAAGCGCGUGUAGGCGGCCUUGUAAGUCUGGUGUGAAAGCCCGGGGCUUACCCCCGGAAGUGCACUGGAAACUGCAAGGCUUGAGUACCGGAGAGGAAGGUGGAAUUCCUGGUGUAGCGGUGAAAUGCGUAGAUAUCAGGAGGAACACCGGUGGCGAAGGCGGCCUUCUGGACGGAUACUGACGCUGAGACGCGAAAGCGUGGGGAGCAAACAGGAUUAGAUACCCUGGUAGUCCACGCUGUAAACGAUGGGCACUAGGUGUUCGGGGUAUUGACCCCCUGAGUGCCGCAGCUAACGCAUUAAGUGCCCCGCCUGGGGAAUACGGCCGCAAGGUUA
rnacentral:rRNA from 1 species